CGUCUCGUGUCACUGUCUCGCACUUGACAAUCAAGGACUUUUUAUGCUUUUCGUCAGAGCUGUGUGGAAUGAAAAUGGGAAGGAGAUGGAGGGGACCAUCCCUGAUGCCUGGGUGAAUGUUGCUGAAAAAACCCUUCGAUGGCCAAAGACGAGGGCAAAAUAUUGUUUCGACAACCAUGUGGCUCCGAAGGAGGAUUGGGAAACUUUCCCAUUGGUGAAAGUGAAAUUUACCUCAGAAAGUCUCCGUGAGUGUGAAGAACAUGAUCACACCAGCCAUGCUGAACAAUUAGAAGAUGAAGAUGAAGAUGAAGACGGAGAGGUUGUAGUGCAAAAGAGAAAGAAAAAAAACUAAAACUUUUGAAGAUUUUGUUGAAGGAUCAGACCUGUCUGAGGCAUCUGCUGAGGGGGAGGAUAAAGAGGAGUGGAAAGGAGAUGCCAGUCCUAUAAUUCCAGUCUUUCCCACCCCACCAAUCAAAAUUUCAAAAAAUGUGGGCCGUGACAGAUCAAAUAGUGGUGAGUAGAGCUGUCAAUCUUCCAAUUUAAUACCAUU